AGGUGUGUCCCAGGUGUCCCCAAGUCCCUCCCUGGGUUGUCCUUGUGUCCCCAAAGUGUCCCCAAGGCCACGCCAGGUGUCCCCAAAAAAUCCUCCAACGCUCUCGUUCCAAUCUCAGCUUUAUUCCAACAUCCCCAGGUGUGUCCAGGGUGUCCCCAGGGUGUCCCCAAGGCCACCGCGGGUGUCCCCAAGGUGUCACUUGUAGAACUCGUGCUCCUGCUCGUCCUUCUUGAUGACGGUCUUGUACGCCUUCUCAAAGUCCUUGGCCAGCACGAUGUACCUGUUCUCCCUGACGGCCAGCAUGCCACCCUGGGGACACGGGGACAGUGUCACCUGUGUCACCUGAGUGUCACCUCUGUGUCACCUGUGUCACCUGUGCCAUCCCCCAGGGUCACCUGUGUCACCUGCACUGAGCUACGGCCACACCUGUGUCACCUGUGUCACCUCAGUGUCACCUGUGUCACCUGUACCUGUUCUCCCUGACGGCCAGCAUGCCACCCUGGGGACACGGGGACAGUGUCACCUGUGUCACCUGUGUCACCUCAGU
rnacentral:lncRNA from 1 species